GUUGACUCAAGCCAUUGGGACUGAUGACAGGGUUUGGUAUACACACACCUUUGCAGUCCACCGAUGGCAUACGAGUUGUUUACGCAUCAGGGAAUGAAGGACAAUAAAUUCAAUGUCAUCAUUUCUGCUGCUUCUUUGAUGGAAGCUCUGUCUGGGGCUCAGCCUGAAUUGGAGGAAUUUCCCAUUUCAGACAUGUUGAUUGCUUCUAAGACCUUCAAACAGAUUCGAAAAUAGUGUUGGAUGUCUUGAAGAACAAAUCCAAAGGCUAUUGUCUCUUGGUAGAGUGAGAUCAGAAGGAGAUUCGAAGGUGUUGUGGGGUUAGGAAGA
rnacentral:misc_RNA from 1 species